rnacentral:rRNA from 1 species
UAGGGAAUCUUCCGCAAUGGACGCAAGUCUGACGGAGCAACGCCGCGUGAGUGAAGAAGGAUUUCGGUUCGUAAAACUCUGUUGUUAGAGAAGAACAGCGCAUAGAGUAACUGUUAUGCGUGUGACGGUAUCUAAUCAGAAAGCCACGGCUAACUACGUGCCAGCAGCCGCGGUAAUACGUAGGUGGCAAGCGUUAUCCGGAAUUAUUGGGCGUAAAGCGCGCGUAGGCGGUUUAAUAAGUCGAAUGUUAAAGAUCGGGGCUCAACCCCGUAAAGCAUUGGAAACUGAUAAAAUUGAGUAGUGGAGAGGAAAGUGGAAUUCCUAGUGUAGUGGUGAAAUACGUAGAUAUUAGGAGGAAUACCAGUAGCGAAGGCGACUUUCUGGACACAAACUGACGAGGAGGUACGAAAGCGUGGGGAGCAAACAGG